rnacentral:rRNA from 1 species
AUUGAACGCUGGCGGCAGGCCUAACACAUGCAAGUCGAGCGAGCGGCGGACGGGUGAGUAAUGUCUGGGAAACUGCCUGCUGGAGGGGGAUAAAUACUGGAAACGGUAGCUAAUACCCCAUACCAUCAGAUGUGCCCAGAUGGGCUUAGCUAGUACGUGGGGUAACGGCUCACCUAGGCGACGAUCCCUAGCUGGUCUGAGGGGAUCACCAGCCAGACUGGAACUGCGGCAUGGUAAUGACUCCCACGGGAGGCAGCAGUGGGGAAUAGUGCACAAUGGGCGCAAGCUAGAUGCAGCCAUGCCGCAUGUGUGAAGAAGGCCUUCGGGGUGUGAAGCAGUGUCAGCAGGUAGACGUUACCCGCAGAAGAAACACGGGCUAACUCCGUGCGAGCAGCCGCGGUAAUAC